UACAAGGCAUGACCUUAAGGGGCUGUGAGUGCUUCUUAUGCUAUAAAUAAGAGCUCAUAGCAAGCCAUCAAACUCACAAAUCUUCAACCAUCUCCUUCUCUCUACAUCUUUGUGUAAAUCUCUCUCACUAACACUCUCUUUACCACUCUCGGUAUACAUACAAACACCACAUACAAACACCACUUCACCACCCUUAACCACCUCUUAUGCUGUUUGAUACUGUCGCUGAAACUAAAUAAAUCUCGACGAUUCGUCUUCACGGCAAUACAUCUCGCUUUUUCUCGCAACAAUUACUCGACAAUCACACAUUAAGCCGGAGGAUUUCUGGAGCAGCAGCAGCAGCAGUAGAUGGUCAGUUCCCGAUCAGAUCAGCAGCUACUUCGAGGUACCUCCUCAGCUAGGGGAAAGGAGCCGGCACGGUAGCAGCAUGUCACACACACACACUCUCUUGUGUCCGUAGUUACGAGUUUAUUCUGGGAUUAAUACUCUGAUAUUUGAUUGAUCGAAUGUUGUGGUUUUCAAUUUGGUUUUUCGAUGUGAAGUGGUUUAAUCAAACAAUGUUUUAACUAUUAAUGCUGUCAUGUAAUGUUUUAUAACGAAA